rnacentral:rRNA from 1 species
AGUGAACGCUGGCGGUAGGCCUAACACAUGCAAGUCGAACGGCAGCACAGUAAGAGCUUGCUCUUACGGGUGGCGAGUGGCGGACGGGUGAGGAAUACAUCGGAAUCUACUUUUUCGUGGGGGAUAACGUAGGGAAACUUACGCUAAUACCGCAUACGACCUACGGGUGAAAGCAGGGGAUCUUCGCACCUUGCGCGAUUGAAUGAGCCGAUGCCGGAUUAGCUAGUUGGCGGGGUAAAGGCCCACCAAGGCGACGAUCCGUAGCUGGUCUGAGAGGAUGAUCAGCCACACUGGAACUGAGACACGGUCCAGACUCCUACGGGAGGCAGCAGUGGGGAAUAUUGGACAAUGGGCGCAAGCCUGAUCCAGCCAUACCGCGUGGGUGAAGAAGGCCUUCGGGUUGUAAAGCCCUUUUGUUGGGAAAGAAAAGCAGCAGGUUAAUACCCCGCUGUUCUGACGGUACCCAAAGAAUAAGCACCGGCUAACUUCGUG